AUGAAUUGUUAAAAAGUUUAGCUAAGGAGGCAGUUUGGGCAUCCAUAUGCUUAGGGAUGAGGGCUCUGAUCACCAGAGCCCAGCCUGUUUGCUGGGCCAAGGAUAUUCAUAGGAACUAGUAUGUAUGGUGACGGGAACUGAGCAGUAGAAACAGAGCUGGCUCUUCUUACCUUACUCUCAGUGAGUUGGUAGAAGAAUUUAUACUUUCAGUUCCCCUGAUUUUAGGCUUUGCCAAGUUAGUGGUCACAGAUCAUGGAAGAAAAAUGCUCCUGUCAGAGAUGCUGCUAGUCAUGUUGAACUUUAAGCUCUAGGGCUUCAUGGUUGUUUUGUGCUUCUUAAGUCAAUGAAAUACACAUAGAAAUGAGUUUCUACACUGAUGGAAGCAGAAGAACCUGAUUACCCUGAUGAGUUAAGAAGAAAGUCACAAGUCCUACCCCUGCUUAACAGAGUGGGUUAUGCAAAGAUAUGAACACAGGGAGGCAGAAUUCAUACAGCAGGUGAGGAAAAAUUCACAAGUCCUAACUGUCAUCAGUGAGGUUGGGUUAUGCAAAAGCUGAACACAAAAAGUCAGAGUUUAUAGUGAGGUCCUCCAGGAUGCCUUACAUCUA